rfam:Camelus ferus unplaced genomic scaffold scaffold407, whole genome shotgun sequence.
GAGGGGAUAGCUCAGUGGUAAAGUGUGUGCUUAACACACACAAGGUCCUGGGUUCAAUUCCCAGUACCUCCA